rfam:Exidia glandulosa HHB12029 unplaced genomic scaffold EXIGLscaffold_322, whole genome shotgun sequence.
GGGCGUAUAGCGCAGUUGGUAGCGCGCCUGUUUAGCAUACAGGAGGUCUCCGGUUCAAAUCCGGAUUCGUCCA